GACGAACGCUGGCGGCGUGCUUAACACAUGCAAGUCGAACGGAAAGGCCCUGCUUUUGUGGGGUGCUCGAGUGGCGAACGGGUGAGUAACACGUGAGUAACCUGCCCUUGACUUUGGGAUAACUUCAGGAAACUGGGGCUAAUACCGGAUAGGAGCUCCUGCUGCCUGGUGGGGGUUGGAAAGUUUUGGCGGUUGGGGAUGGACUCGCGGCUUAUCAGCUUGUUGGUGGGGUAGUGGCUUACCAAGGCUUUGACGGGUAGCCGGCCUGAGAGGGUGACCGGCCACAUUGGGACUGGGAUACGGCCCAGACUCCGACGGGAGGCAGCAGUGGGGAAUAUUGCACAAUGGGCGGAAGCCUGAUGCAGCAACGCCGCGUGCGGGAUGACGGCCUUCGGGUUGUAAACCGCUUUCGCCUGUGACGAAGCGUGAGUGACGGUAAUGGGUAAAGAAGCACCGGCUAACUACGUG
rnacentral:rRNA from 1 species